UUUAUCAAUAUGCCAUUGCAAAAUGAGGAAGAAAAUGAGUACAAAGUGUUAUGGACACACUUCGCUACCACAUCUGCAAUGUCGCCUUAUCUUGUAAGAAUGAUUGUGUCUAAUUUCCUAUCACGUAUUGAUUAUGACAAUCGAAACAUUGAAAUAUGGUGCAGUAACGAAUAUGAGUUUCACAUGAAAUUUGCAAAACAUUUUGCUGAAAAUAUCACGUUGUUGCUUAAAAAUGAAUGGAAUUUACGUUCGAAGCAAAUAUUGAAGGUGACGCAUGUUGCAAUUCCCAAUUUCCAUGACAAUGGCAUAACAGAUUUUGGACUUGUUUUAUAUAAGGAAACAGAUAUCUUCUACGAUAAAAAUUAUAUCCUAUUACUCGCAAAAUCGAAGUAGCUCAAUUAGUAGGACGUAAAGUGAUACAGGAAUGGUUUAAUAUCCUGUUGAAUAGUCUGUUAAUGUCGAAUUGUUUGAUGAAAAAAGGUUUUAGUGCAUUGUUUGCAACGUAUGCUGUUAAUAUGACUUAUGAAGAUCAUCGAAUAAUAAAUUUAUUUGUUGUUCAAAAUCAACACUACUCCUUUAAUUUGGAUGGUGAUUAUUAUAUGGGGAAUUCUGCUUUACUAGUUAACAGUUCAUUGGAAAUUCCCGAUUCUAUCAGAGCACCUUUUAUACUGCGCAUGAUGGAACACUUACUCUCAGAAGGAACGUGGUUAAAAUUCAUGAGCCUUUAUCACAAGAUAUCACAUCUUUUAAGCUCUGCGAAUCUUACUGCAACAAUAAAUACAGAUAUGCAUUUACAUCUAAUGAGAAUGGAAGGUUGGGCUUCGGAAAAGUAUUGUCCUCUUAUUAAAAUAAAACGAUAUUAUAAUGAAUCUAUCGGUCAAGCAUGGGUACAAUAUAGAGACACAUUAAAAAUUCGCUACGUUCCUGUAUCUUAUACUACGGAAAUAUCUCCCGAUUUUGAUAAUUUCACUAUGCAUUUUUUACCCGUGUCAGAGCAUUUCUCUUUUCCAUUUGAAAGGAUGGUUGGGUGAUAUUCAAUAUACAACAAGUUGGAUAUUAUCGCGUUAAUUAUGAUGAUGAGAAUUGGCGAAGAAUUUCACAUUAUCUAAACUUUGAUGAUUACACGAAAAUUCAUGUUCUUAAUCGUGCCCAAAUUAUCGAUGAUGCAUUUCAUUUAAUAAUAGCAGGCCAACUCAACUGCCAAAUAUUCUGGGAUCUCAUAGUGUAUUUGCAUCGAGAAAGAGAUUAUGUGGCAUGGUAUCCUAUGUUUAAAGCUAUGGAAUAUAUGUACGGUACUUUUUCAUGGAAAGAAAUAAUUGAAAAUGUUACGUAUAUAGUAACAUACGCAUUACACAAGGUACUUGUAGAAAUAAAAUAUGAAGAAAUUGAUGAUACAGACGAACUUAGAAUAUGUUUACGACAAGAAGCUGCGAAAUGGUCAUGUUUUUUCAAUAACCCGGUUUGUAAGAUAAAAGCCAACGAUAAAUUAGAACAACAUGUCCAAGAUCCUAAAAAACACAAACUUUUGCCAUGGUGGAAGAAAUGGACAUAUUGUAACGGUUUGAUAACUACCGACAUAGAGACUUGGGGAUUAGUGUAUAGUAUAGGAUAUGGUAUAGAUUAUGAUCGUGAUACAUUUGACCCUAAAUUUAUAGAAUACUUGGCCUGCUCUAAAGAUGCAGAUAUAAUUAAAAAAUAUUUAAAAAUUGACGCUUUUAAAAACGAGAAAUUCAAUAUCUUCUUUUCAGUUUCUUACAUAUUAUUACAAAGCAUGUGAAAAAUCAAAUUAUACUACGGUACAUAUUAAAUGAUUUUUGGAACAUAAAACCAAAACAUGUUGAUAUACCUGCAGCAUUUAUUAUUAUCAUUAAUAACGUAUAUUCCGUAAAUCAAACUCAGGAAAUAAACAGAUAUGUUCAAAGGUUAAAAGUUAAUGUAAACGAAAGUGUUGGAAUAAAAGAAAAGGAUUUCAUAACGCAGAAUUUCAACAAAAUUGAAAGCAAGAUAUCAAUUCGCAACAGUCAAAUCGAAAGACAAAGACAGUAUUUUAAUAAUAUUUUUUGUCGGAGCAAGUAAAAAUUGCAGCUUUGCAUUGUGUGCGUGGAUAUACUUCAUAUUAAU